UACGUAGGGCGCAAGCGUUGUCCGGAAUUAUUGGGCGUAAAGAGCUCGUAGGCGGCCAGUUGCGUCUGCUGUGAAAUCCCGGGGCUCAACCCCGGGCGUGCAGUGGAUACGGGCUGGCUAGAGGCAGGCAGGGGAGAACGGAAUUCCCGGUGUAGCGGUGAAAUGCGCAGAUAUCGGGAGGAACACCGACGGCGUAGGCAGCGCCCUAGACGAGACCUGACGCUCAGGCACGAAAGCGCGGGGAGCGAACAGG
rnacentral:rRNA from 1 species